UACGUAGGGUGCAAGCGUUGUCCGGAAUUAUUGGGCGUAAAGAGCUUGUAGGCGGUUUGUCGCGUCUGCUGUGAAAUUUCGGGGCUCAACCCCGAACUUGCAGUGGGUACGGGCAGACUAGAGUGUGGUAGGGGAGACUGGAAUUCCUGGUGUAGCGGUGAAAUGCGCAGAUAUCAGGAGGAACACCGAUGGCGAAGGCGGCAUACUGGACCACCUCUGACGCUGAGGCGCGAAAGCCAGGGGAGCAAACGGG
rnacentral:rRNA from 1 species